CCUACGGGAGGCAGCAGUGAGGAAUAUUGGUCAAUGGACGCAAGUCUGAACCAGCCACGCCGCGUGCAGGAAGACGGCUCUCUGAGUUGUAAACUGCUUUUGUACGAGGGUAAACGCAGAUACGCGUAUCUGUCUGCAAGUAUCGUACGAAUAAGGAUCGGCUAACUCCGUGCCAGCAGCCGCGGUGAUACGGAGGAUUCAAGCGUUAUCCGGAUUUAUUGGGUUUAAAGGGUGCGUAGGCGGUCGGAUAAGUUAGAGGUGAAAUCCCGAGGCUCAACUUCGGAAUUGCCUCGGAUACUGUUCGGCUAGAGAGUAGUUGCGGUAGGCGGAAUGUAAGGUGUAGCGGUGAAAUGCUUAGAGAUCAUACAGAACACCGAUUGCGAAGGCAGCUUACCAGGCUACUUCUGACGUUGAGGCACGAAAGCGUGGGGAGCAAACAGGAUUAGAUACCCCAGUAGUC
rnacentral:rRNA from 1 species